GAUGAACGCUGGCGGCGUGCCUAAUACAUGCAAGUCGAGCGAACGGACGAGAAGCUUGCUUCUCUGAUGUUAGCGGCGGACGGGUGAGUAACACGUGGAUAACCUACCUAUAAGACUGGGAUAACUUCGGGAAACCGGAGCUAAUACCGGAUGAUAUUUUGAACCGCAUGGUUCAAAAGUGAAAGACGGUCUUGCUGUCACUUAUAGAUGGAUCCGCGCUGCAUUAGCUAGUUGGUAAGGUAACGGCUUACCAAGGAAACGAUGCAUAGCCGACCUGAGAGGGUGAUCGGCCACACUGGAACUGAGACACGGUCCAGACUCCUACGGGAGGCAGCAGUAGGGAAUCUUCCGCAAUGGGCGAAAGCCUGACGGAGCAACGCCGCGUGAGUGAUGAAGGUCUUCGGAUCGUAAAACUCUGUUAUUAGGAAAGAACAUAUGUGUAAGUAACUGUGCACAUCUUGACGGUACCUAAUCAGAAAGCCACGGCUAACUACGUG
rnacentral:rRNA from 1 species